AUGAAUGCCAUAGUUUGGAACUAUCGCGGGCUUGGGAACCCGGAGACAGUUUGUGAGCUUCACAACCUGAUGAGGCUAGAAGUGCCCGCCCUUGUUUUUUUGUGUGGGACAAAGAUCAAGGGUAAUCGUGUGAAUGAUCUAACAAAAAGACUUGGUUUUGAAUGUUGCUUUUCAGUUGAUAGUGCUGGCCUAAGUGGAGGUUUGGCACUGUUAUGGUCCAAAUGA
rnacentral:rRNA from 1 species